rnacentral:sRNA from 1 species
CUACAAAUAGUUCCGUGAGAAAGAUGGCCGGGAACUCGAUCCUGCUGGCUGCUGUCUCUAUUCUCUCGGCCUGUCAGCAAAGUUAUUUUGCUUUGCAAGUUGGAAAGGCAAGAUUAAAAUACAAAGUUACGCCCCCAGCAGUCACUGGGUCACCAGAGUUUGAGAGAGUAUUUCGGGCACAGUAAGUAAUGCUUCUUCCACCCUUCAUGGAUCUGUGCCUGCCAUACAGACACAAUUCCUGACUAGGGGAAAGGGAUAUGGAGAAGACCCUAAGUUCAUGUGCAAUAUCUAGUUAUAACAAGUCACUCUUCACAGCCAAGACCGUUCUCAGAAUCCAGAAAGUUUGAAGGGUUCGGGGCAUGAAGUCUCUGCCCACAUCUAUUACCAAUUCAGCAGGGUAUAUUUACAGAAAAGACUGGGAUCUCAGGAGGGACUGCUGUGUCUCCCAAGGAGGGUCACUGGGUCAAAGAGGCCCCCUGGAGCCUUGGGAGACCACAAUAGUCUGAAGUCGGAUUAGUUAUGCUACAAUUUUCUAUCUUAUUUUUUCCUCCCUACUUCAAAACAGAGGUAGAUCAGGAUUAAUCUUCUGCCAGUUUCUCUGUGAACCAUUUCUUAAAAUCAGACACCUGUAAGAAUGAGAAAGCUUGCCAGCUCACAUGCAUG